rnacentral:lncRNA from 1 species
UGUGAGCCAUUUCCAUUUUUUGUAUGUUUGUUUAUAUGUACAUAACAUUUUAUUGUUUAAUAUGUAUGUUCCAGGCUGUAUAACUAUAUAUGCAUUGUUACUUUUUUCAUUUAUUCAUAAAGAUAAACCAGAAAAAAUAUCUGUAAACAUAUUUUCAUAAUUUUGGAAAAAAAUCUUGUGUCCAUUUUUGUUUGCAGAUGACUAUUUUAGUUGUAAAUUUGUUUCAUCAAAAAAAUGUAAAAAUUUAUAAAUUUAAACCAAAAGAAUAUUUUGAUAAUUUCUGAAAUGUUAAGAUGUGUUAACUAAAAUAUUUCAUUGCCUUUAAUCAUAAGCAAAUAUCUUUGUUGUACAUAAAUGUGUAUUGAAAUUUACUUUAAUCUUUAGUAUUUUGGUGAAUAUCUUUUUAUGUUUGUUUUUUAUUUUAUUUUUAUGAGCCUCUCUGUAAUUAGGGUGAAUGUCAUAUAUAUUACUAGUUGAACUGAUACACUGUAAAUGUGUUUCUUCUAUGUCAAAUGACUUAAAACUAUUUUAAUAUACCUUCAACAGGACCAUAGUAUAUCAUAUGCCUGGACUAUAUAUGUAGUCUCAAGCAAUCAUGUCUGGAGUAUUAUGGUAUUAUUUUUUUGUAUAUAAUUUAGUCAGGGUGUUUUUUGUAGCUUAUUUCACAUUUUUCUUAUUUUUUAUUUUUACAAACCGGUGAUGUAUAACCAACAAUAUGUGCCAUAUAAAAUAUGUUCUUCAAUGUGCUUAUAUUAAUGUGUCUCUUGUUUUUCAAAAAAAAUAUAUGGUGCACCAGCAUACAUAAAAGUGAUUUUACCUUUCAACUUCUCUAAUGUUUUAUAGUUUCAAGUUGUGCAAUCUACUGAAUUCCUUCUGACAGUUAAUAAAAUAGAAAUAUUAGAACUCUUUAAAACAAAGUUGAUAGUCCCUUUAUAUUUGUUUUUUGUGAAUAUUAUAAGAAUGUCUGUAUUGAUUAGCCGACAUAUUAAAAACAUUUUAGAGAUAAUUUGUGUUAAGACUAUUAUGAAAUAUAAAAUUGAGAAAGGAAAUGGGGAAUGUGUCAAAGCAACAACAACCCGACCAUAGAGCAGACAACAGCCUUGUAUGAGAUUAUAAAUACAUAAAUUAUAAAGAAAUAAUGUGUUAUAUCUAUGAUUAAUUUGAUACAUGUAAUAAUACAAAGCAUAUAUACAUGCUUUAUUCUUAUAGUGUCAAGAAAGUUUAGAUUUUCUAUUUGACAUAAUAGUAAAAUUCAUCUAUUUUAAGACAUCAGUUAAAAUAAUCUCACUUUUUUAUUUGAUUCACAUUUGAUUUCCUGCUAUUUGAUAAAUAGAACAAAACCCUGUAGAUGAAUCUGGAAUUUACUUGAAACUUUUGAUUUUGAUUUCGUUUCUCAAAAUUGAAAGUAGCUUAGGUGAUUCAAGAUAAGAUAACAGUUUUAAGUCAUUGAAAUAUUGAUUGUGAUUUCGUUUCUUUAAAUUCAAAGUAGCUUAGGUGAUUCCCGAGAAGUUAACAGUUUAAAGUCAUUGAAAUAAUUUCAGUUUUAUAUACUGUUGCAUACCAUAAAUCGUUCUUGAAUGUAUUUCAAAAAUGAAAGUUUCAUGAAGUAAAUUCUAUAAAAUGUUCAAUACAACUUCCAUGAUGUCGUGAAUGGUGGAUUUGACAGGUUUUAAAAAUUACCCCAACUUUCAAGUCAUCUAAAAAUUACUGAUAUUGUGUGAUAAAAUUUCUGGGUUCUUGAUCAAGGUAUAUUUCAUUUUUAAAACUCAGAUUUAAAUUUUUUCGCAAAUGCAUUUCACAACAAAAUCUUUAUCCUUCAAAUAGUAAACUUGAAAAUAAACACAAAUUACAAACACUAUUUGACAUUGUGAACUGAAUGCUUUUACUGUUUCUCAUUUUGAUUGUAAUAAGUAAUUUGAGCUUUGCUACCCUUUUCAUGUUUCAUAAAUUUAUACCUGCUUAUAACAGAAAUUUGAAUAAAGUACAGUUUCAAAGUUAGGACAGAAUAUAAUGAUUACCUGUAUCAUUUACAUGAAAGAAUUAAAUAUUUUUCUUUUUAUCUCAAAUCAAAUAAAUAUUGUUUUUUACAAAUAGUGAUAUCCCCUUGUACUUACUUUAAUAGAUAAUAUUUUUUUAGGAAGAAAAUGGAACUUUUCUUGCCAGCAAUGAGAUUCAUGUAUGAUCCACUGUUAAGGUUUUGUUUAAUAUUUGAGUUAUGUCUUUCAUUUAAUGCAAUCAUGACUUGUCUUUCAUUUUCAGUAUUAUUGUUAUUUAAGUUAUUAAGACCAAACUUGCUUAUUUAAUAUUUGUAUGCUUUUUUUAUUGAAAUAUUGUUUUGAUUUCUGAAAAUAAAUGUUACAAAAAGAAACAAGACUUA